UCCUUACUGGCUCACAUAGUAAAGGAUCUGCCUGCAGUGCAGGAGACCUGGGUUCAAUCCCUGGGUCAGGAA
rnacentral:tRNA from 1 species